GCGUGGGUAGUUCAGCCCAGUAAGAACCCGCAGCUCGUAACUGCGUUACAAGGGAGCAAAGCCCUUCCCACGCCCCA
rnacentral:tRNA from 1 species